rnacentral:rRNA from 1 species
ACUCCUACGGGAGGCAGCAGUGGGGAAUAUUGCACAAUGGGCGCAAGCCUGAUGCAGCCAUGCCGCGUGUAUGAAGAAGGCCUUCGGGUUGUAAAGUACUUUCAGCAGUGAGGAAGGUGGGUAUGUUAAUAGCAUAUUCAUUUGACGUUAGCUGCAGAAGAAGCACCGGCUAACUCCGUGCCAGCAGCCGCGGUAAUACGGAGGGUGCGAGCGUUAAUCGGAAUUACUGGGCGUAAAGCGCAUGCAGGUGGUUUGUUAAGUCAGAUGUGAAAGCCCGGGGCUCAACCUCGGAAUUGCAUUUGAAACUGGCAAACUAGAGUACUGUAGAGGGGGGUAGAAUUUCAGGUGUAGCGGUGAAAUGCGUAGAGAUCUGAAGGAAUACCGGUGGCGAAGGCGGCCCCCUGGACAGAUACUGACACUCAGAUGCGAAAGCGUGGGGAGCAAACAGGAUUAGAUACCCCUGGUAGGCGUA